CGGGCCCCGCCCUGCACUAGGCGGAAGCCCCCAAAGUAUCAGCGCCGCUUCGUGGAGCCUGGCGACUGCUUUGGGAAGUCCUGCUGGCAGGCACUCUGCCCCUGGGGGUGUGCAAAGAGUUGUCCAGUUACCUUGAUCUUCUCACAGCCUCCUCCCCAGGGCACCAGGAGAGACCAGGAUUGGAGGACGGUAAAGAACACACUUCCCAGAGGAUUCUUGGAGGUGGCUUCCUCCAGGCAGUAAAUCUACAGCCCAGGCUCCCUGCAUCUUAUGGCUCCAAUCACUUUGGAUCUCAUCGUCGCCUGCACAUUGCCAUACACAGGGAAGGAGAAGAGAUGGAGAAGGCAAAGACUUUCUGAAAGCCGUGGCUAAAAGCUGGCAUGUGUCACAUCAGCUCACAUUCCAUUGUAGAGACGGGGUUUCACCGUGUUAGCCAGGAUGGUCUUGAUAUCCUGACCUCGUGAUCCGCCCGCCUUGGCUUCCCAAAGUGCUGGGAUUACAGGCGUGAGCCACCGCUCCCGGCCUGGCAGGCAUUCUUGAGGCAAACGGGAAAUGGGGUAAGUUACACAAUCGAUACAGCUCCGUCAUCGUGGUUUAAUUACUUUUCCACGUACCAUGUUUCCUGACAGGUAGAACGAUCAGCCUGGGCCUCCGUUUUUCAUUCUACAAAGAAUGAAGUGCAUGAACUGUCCUCUAUAGAAUUGUGGAAAAAGUUGUUUUUAUUGAGUUGUGGUUAUCUUUGUCUUCAUGGUCUAAUUACGGAAAUAAAUGCUUUUCCGAGUCUCCGGGGAUGGUCUGCCCUAGUCCAGCUCUCUGCAGUGUCUUUCUGGGUUUUUCCUCAGUGAACGGGAGGAACAUUGGCAGCACUUGUGGUCUGCACCAAGAACUGAAUCGAAUUUCCAUGUGUUAUUGAAUGUUCACAAAGACCUUGUACAGCGAGUGUUACUACCUCUGGUCAAUGAUUCAACUCAAGGCUCAGAAAAGUCAAGUGUCUUGUCCAGGGACACUUAGUCAGAAGUGAAUCCAAGGUUUAAGCUCAAGUCUGCCUAACUCUGAAUUUCACAGCCUUUUGCUACAUAUGGCGAAUAAUAUAUCCCUGAGCACUAAAGGCAGACUCCAAGGAUCUUGUCUCUGCAAUCAUCAUUCUGGCCAUAAUUUAUGAAAAGCAACCCAAAGUAUGUGAUGUAAUAAAAAGUACUAUCUAUGAGUUUACCCUUCCAAAAAUUGAACUGAAUUCUGAGCUCUAAAUUUGGAAUCAAAAGAACUUUUCUCUGCACUAAUCAUUUGGAACAUCACUUAAAGAAAACAACGAAAAACUGGUGUCCCCUGAGAGAAAGCAAUACAAAACAUUAUGCAUAAAGAAAUCCUUCCAAAAAAUAAACCAAAUCCAGUCAAAUCUCUAGUUUUGACUCCUAGCUUACCGGAAAUACGUGAUGGGAAAAAAAUGAAAUGACACCACUAUGAUUCAAUCAGCCAAAUCCAGCAUAUGCAAAUUUCUACCAGAUAAAUGGUUUAGUUUCUUCCCCAAACAAAUGGCACAAGGAAACGGAGGUAAGAAUGGGAUGCUGUUAUAGAUUUUAAAAGAUUUAAGAAAGUAUAAACUAAAUACACUAUGUGCAUCCUCUCUGAACGUGCUUCAAACAUAUCAAGGGGUCAAUGAGCAGUUUUGAAACAAUAAGGGAAUUUGAACACUGAAUGGUUGUCAGAAGAUAGUAAGAGAUCAUUAUUAAUUUUACUAGACAUAAUGAUGUUCUGAUUUUGUUUUUUUUUUAAAAAAAAAACAGUGUUAUUUCCUUUAUAGAUACAUCAUAUAGUAUUAACUAAUGAAAUGCUUUGAUAUCUGGAACGUUUAAAAAAUAUUCCCGAUGGAGUAAGUGCAAAGAAACAGGUAAGCAAAAUGCUGAUAAUUGCUGAAACACAGGAUGUGUACCUGGGGCUUCAUUUACUAUCUCUUCAUUUUCUAUUUUGAUAUUUGUUGGACAUUCUCAUAAAAAGGAAAGUUAUGUUUUAUUUUCUCAUAAGCUAGUAAUGAAAUAGCCCUACGUAACUGAUAUUGUAGAGACAAGAAUAGGUGUAAUAGAGCUUAAGGUUUUCAUUUAAAAAACUAUCUGUAGACUUCAAUGGAUCUUAGGUGGCAUCCAUGCAAUAACACUCGUGGAACAUGCAGGACAGGUGUGGAGCUCCAUCUUCACACAGUGACAUUUUUUAUGCUUCUGUUUUCCCUAAGAGUGGAGUGAGAGGAUGAUUAUUUUAUAUCAUGGACUUCUUCCCUGCUAUACUUUUUUUAAUUAUUUUACUUUCACUUCUGGGAUACAUGUGCUGAGCAUGCAGGCUUGUUUACAUAGGUAUACAUCUGCCAUGGUGGUUUGCUGCACCUAUCAACCCAUCAUACAGGUUUUAAGCCCUGCAUGCAUUAGGUAUUCGCCCUAAUGCUCUCCCUCGCCUUUCCCCCCACCCCCUGAUAGCCCCCAGUGAGUCAUAUUCCCCUCCCUGUGUCCAUGUGUUCUCAUUGUUCAACUCCCAUUUAUGAGUGAGAAUAUGUGGUGUUUAGUUUUCUGUUCCUGUGUUAGUUUGCUGAGAAUGAUGUUUUCCAGCUUCAUCCAUGUCCCUGAAAAGGACAUGAGCUCAUUCUUUUUUAUGGCUGCAUAGUAUUCCACGGUGUUAUAUGUGCCACAUUUUCUUAAUCCAGUCUGUCAUUGAUGGACAUUUGGGUUGUUUCCAAGUCUUUGCUAUUGUAAAUAGUGCUGCAAUAAACAUAUGUGUGCAUGUGUCUUUGUAGUAGAAUGAUUUAUAAUCCUUUGGGUAUAUGCCCAGUAAUGGGACUGAUGGGUCAAAUGGUAUUUCUGGUUCUAGAUCCUUGAGGAAUUGCCACACUGUCUUCCACAAUGGUUGAACUAAUUUAUACUCCCACCAACAGGGUAAAAGCAUUCCUAUUUCUCCACAUCCUCUCCAGCAUCUGUUGUUUCCAAAUGUUUUAAUGAUUGCCAUUCCACCUGGCGUGAGAUGGUAUCUCAUUGUGGUUUUGAUUUUCAUUUCUCUAAUGACCAGUGAUGAUAAGCUUUUUUUCAUAUGUUUGUUGGCCACAUAAAUGUCUUCUUUUGACUUUUAUGUGGAAACAAAUUUAACUGCACAGAGAGGUGAAAAUUAAUUAAUAACUUUUAAAGUAAUUCCCUAAGUUUCUAAGGAUCUAUAUGUUUCCAUCUGACUUUAUUUUAUUUAAGCUCUUGAUUGAUGCUGCAUUUGGAGCAGGUUCAUGAACAUGAAUAGAGUUAAUCUGGGACAGAUUUCCCUCAUUUGAUUUUUUCACUGUUUCCAUCACAGAACUUAUUUCAUGCUCACCAUGUUUGCAGGCAUUGAGCUUGGUACUGGAGCCACAGAGCUGGAUCAGACAGACUUGUGCAAAUAUUUCAGGUUUUUUUUGUGGGGGGGUCAUAUUUAUAGAUAAAUAACAGUAAAGAGUGACGGGUUCUUAUGAAAAUGCAUACACAGUGAAGUAGAGGGUGAAAAGGAGGGAUGUGUUCUAUGAGGAGGAAGAGUGAUAAGAAAGUGUAAGGGGAUGUGUCUGUGUCUAGACAUAUGUGUGUUCACGUGUGUGCGUGCUUGUGUGUACUGCAUGUGUAUAUGUGUGGCCAUGCACCUGUGUGCAUGUUCAUGUGUGUGUGUGUAUGUGUCUGUGUUGAGGACUAAAUUAAUUGGGCUUAUGGAAGCAGGGAGCCACUGAUAGGUUUAAUUAGAGACUGACAUGAUAUGAUAGUUUAGGUGGAUUUCUCUGGGGGCUGUGUUGAGGGACAGUGGGGAGGAGAGCUAGAAGGAAGAAAAGGACACAUGCAUAACAGAAGCAAUAUCUGUCUAUGGGAUGGUGGAAAGAAUCAGAAAAGACUUAAUAAAACAUGUGACACUUUAACUGAAUCUUGAAAUAGACAAGUGUUGGAGGAGGGAGUUGGACCAGAUACUUCAUGCAAAGGGAAGAAAAGUGCACAAACAAAAUAUGAGAAACAAGGCAGACAGGCAUUUUUUUAAAAUUUUCGCACCCACUGAUAGACCAGUGAUGCAUUCACAUCGUCUGCAUUCAUGAUCAACAAAAGUGCUUUCCUAGAACAUGAACCUCAACCCAAGUGUCGCCUCAAGUAGUGUAUGCAUGAACUCAAGCAUUAAAUUAGAAUUGAUUUUUUAAAAAACUCACACAAACAGAUGUAUUAUUUAAAAAUCUUUAAAGCAGGUUUAAACAGUUUUCAGGAUUAAAAGCAGCCACUAUUAGAAAGAACAAAAAUACAUUUGACAUAAAUAUAAGGAGCCUCAAUAGAACCUCCUGUACCCAGUCAUUGUCAAUGCCACAUCCAUUCAUUCACCAGCCCUUAUAUCAAUGCUUGCUGGGCUCACUUACCACGAUCAGCACGUGCAUGUCCUUAUCUGAAAGCUUGCCACUCAAAUGUGCUCAGUCUUACCUGUGUGGCUGGGAGUGUUGGGGAUUUAAUGUCAAGGGAAAGAAUCUUCCAUCAAUGAAUGAUGAAAGUUAGUUUUCACAACUUCCGGUCCCCUUGGCCCUCAUCAAAGGGCUCCAGGUGAGGUUUGGGCUCCUUGCUAUCCUCCGAGUUUCCACGGUAGUUUUAAGCACCAUUGCCCGUGGUAAUGGCUGACAUUGAUACUGCACUUUUUUUUUAUUUAAGAUGGAGUUCCCCUCUGCCACCCAGACUGGAGUACAGUGGCGCGAUCCUGGCCAUCGCAACCUCCGCCUCCCAGAUCCCUCCUACAACACAUGAGAAUUGUGGGUGCUACAAUUCAAGAUGAGAUUUGAGUGGGGACAAAGUCAAACCAUAUCAUUAGAUAGGACACUGGAGAAAGGCAAGAAAGAAAAGACAUCUGAAGAAUGAAGGGAGCCAAAGAAAUGCCAACAUUUUGCUUUUUGAAGAAAAGCUAAAUUAAAGUCAAAAUGGAUUUAUCAAUUUCCUUGGGUUCGUGAAUGUACAGAACUUUAUUAAGGUAAGUCAAAACUUCUCUUUUUAUACUUAACCCAACUCAAAUUGGCUUAUGUAGGGGAAACAAGAAAUCAAAACCCAAAGGAACAUGCCAGUUCAGGAAUAUACAGUUAGCUAAGCUUCUUACUGAACAAAUAAAAUCACAAAGCAUGUAUGCAGAUAGACCACAAGUGACUAUAGUGAGGUAGUUUAUUUCAGCUCUAUUUAUCUGGAAUUAAUGCUACACCAUCUGACAUAUUAAGCAGUUAUGCAUCAGGUAUCAGUAGUUACAUCUUCCAGUGCCUCUUACAGUUGCCCCUGAUGGUAUAUCUACUCGAAAGUAUGUAAGUGCACUCACAUUCUUCAACAUUUCCUCAUUAAAGCCAGAUGGAAUUGGGCUUCUUAUACUUGCUAUUCAUUCAUUUAAUAUUAUUAGAGUGUCUACCAUGUAGUAGGCAUUUUCUGUAAAUGCUGGGGAUAUCUUGAUAACAAAGACAAAACCUUUCCCCACAUAGAUCUUAAAUUUUAGUGCGAAGAGAAAGACAAUGACUAUUUUGAAGUUACGAAGGGGAUUUGCUGAUUUGAAUGCCUACUUAGGAGAUUCAGAAGUGGUUGGAUUUAGGUGCUUAGAUUAAGUCAUCAGGAAUUUCCACCUUCUACCCAUAACAGUGAGCAUCUGAAACUUACAAAACAAUAUUUCCUAUUUUACUUCAUUUUAUUUUAGAGACAGGGUCUUGCCUGUUGCUCAGUCUGGAAUGCAGUGGCACAAUCAUAGCUCACUGCAGCCUCAAUUUCCUGGGCUCAAGGGAUCCUCCCAAAGUGCUGGGAUUACAGGUAUAAGCCACCAUGCCCGGCCAAGAUACUCUAUUUUUAAUUUACAGUUUAUAUCAAGACACUGAGCCAGGGGAAUUUGAAGUCACCCAUCCAGUGGUCUUAGCAUCUUUGCUCACACACUGAAUGACUUGAUGUAAAUGACUGAAUCAGACUUGUUUGCUUAUAGCUGACACCACCGAGCAAACAUAUUCUCUCUUUCUCUGGGACAACACCUGAUAUGGUCUGGCUCUGUGUCCCCACCCACAUCUCAUCUUAAAUUGUAAUCCAAAUUGUAAUCCCCACAUGUUGGGGGAGGGACCUCAUGGGAAGUGAUUGGAUCAUGGUGGUGGUUCCCCCUGUGCUAUUCUCGUGAAAGUGAGUGAGUUCUCAUGAGAUCUGAUGGUUUUAUAAGGGGCUCUUCCCCCUUCAUUUUGCACUUCUGUCUCCUGCUGCCUUGUGAAGAAGGACAUGUUUGCUUCCCCUUCCACCAUGAUUGUAAGUUUCCUGAGGCCUCCCCAGCCAUGCCAAACUGUGAGUUAAUUAAACCUCUUUCCUUUAUAAAUUAUCCAGUCUCGGGUAUUUCUUUAUAGCAGCAUGAAAAUGGACUAAUACAGCACCUAUCUCCCAGUAUUGUAUUUUCACAAUGGAAGUUUUAAUCCAGGGAUGUCUAAUCUUGUGGCUUCCUAGGCCACACUGGAAGAAGAAUUGUCUUGGGCCACACAUAAAAUACACUAACACUAAUGAUAGCUGAGAAGCUAAAGAAAAAUCACAAAUAAAUCUUACAAUGUUUCAAGAAAGUUUACGAAUUUGUAUUGGGCUAUCCUGGGCUGCGUGCAGCCAUGGGCUAUGGGUUGGACAAGCUUGGUUUAAUCCAUAGAUGGAGCAUUCUACACAGCUCCCUUAAAGAUGUUCCAGAAGUGCUGACUCUGUGUCAGGCACCAUGUUCACCACUUAGAUGUUCGUUUAAUCCUUACAAAAGAGCCAUGGAGCAUGGACUGUUACUGUGGCAGAUGUGUUAGCCUCCUGUGGUUGCCAUAACAAAAUACUACAAACUGCGUGGCUUAAAACACCAGGAAUUUAUUCUCACUGUUCUAAAAGACGGAAGUCCGAAAUCCAGGAGUCAACAGGGCUGUGCUCCUUUUUGAGGCUCUAGGGAAGAAUACUUCCUCCCCUCUUCCAGCUUCUGCUGGCCACAGGUGUUCCUCGGCUUGUGGCCACAUCACUCCAAUUGCUGCCUCCAUCCCACAUAGCCUUCUUCCCUAUGUGUGUGUUCUCACAUGGUCUUUGUAUAAGGAUAUCAGUUAUGGGAUUUAGUUCCUACCAUAAUCCAUCAUGAACUCUACUGCACUAAUUACGUCUACAAAGGCCUUAUUGCCAAAUAAGGUCACAUUCUGGGGUUUCAGGUGAAUAUAAAUUUUGGAAGGACACUAUUCAACCCAGUACAACAAGUAAAAUUUAAAAAGGCACCCUUUUACCUUGGCAUGUUAUCUCACUUGAUUUUUAUAACAGCCCUGUAGAUUAAACAGAUAAUAUGUUAUAUUCCCACUUCUAGAUAUCAUCACCCAUUAUUUGAGAGAAUGGAAAUGAAGUUCAGGGCUGUUAACACUCCUGCCACUGAAACAUCCCAGGCCAGUGACCUUUUCAUGUCUGACCUAACAGGUGGUUUCCAACCACAGUUACUUGUGACAUCAUUCCAUCACUCCCCAUACACAUUCCCUGUAGAUCAACUUAUCUGGCCCUACAAUUAUAGUUACAGGGAAUUUUACAUUCUUCAUCUUCCACAGGCAACUGAAUCUUCUGGGACAAAAAGCAUAUGUUCUCCCAUAGUAAUAAAAUUUCCCUUUUUUAGCCUGGCAUGUGACUGCCAAUAAUAACACUUCCCAGACUCUCAGGUGUCCACGUCUAUCCAAAGGGAAAUAUAGUCAGUGAUAACUUCCAGACAUAGAUGAAACAUGCCACACCUUAUAGUCACUUUAUGGGGUUCAUUCUCUCUUCCCAUAGACUGUCAUGCUGUCAUCAUGGCUGGAUCUGAUACGGCCACCGUGGACCUUGAGGUGACCUCGGGAAUGGAGACAGUGCAUGGGAGAGAAUCACAUUGGAAGGGGCCUGGGUUUCUGAAGACCCUGUAAGACAGAUCUCCUUGCAGCCCUGACUGCCCACAUUAGGGCUUUUAUGUUAGGGUGAAGUUACCUUGCAUUGUCAUAUAAGCAAUUGCUAUUUGUGGUGUCUUGCAAAUAAACCUAUUCUGAUCUAGUAUGUUUCCUAAAAAACAAAAGUUUGAACCCAGCUCUUUACGUGUUACAUGUUCUGAAUACAAAAAUAAGACCCAGUUUCUGCCCCCUAGCAGGACCCAAAACCCCUCAGUGAAGGCAUACACCAUAGGAAUAAUCUCACAAGUACUUU
rnacentral:lncRNA from 10 species